rnacentral:misc_RNA from 3 species
GCGCCGGAUGCCGGAAAGUUGGUCAAACUUGAUCAUUUAGAGGAAGUAAAAGUCGUAACAAGGUUUCCGUAGGUGAACCUGCGGAAGGAUCAUUACCGAUAGAAUAAUCCAAGACGAGUCCUUGAGACUUGUUUACUGUGUGAAUUGUACGCAAUCUUUUAGGGGUCGGUCUCUGUGCCGUUAAAUGGUCGUCCGCCGCUUGGCGUGCGUUCGGUCAGCCCCGACUUUAUGUUUUUUCAAACUUUGUUUAUUCAGUCUGAGAACCAAUAGUGUUGGAAAACGUAAAAGAGAAAGACAACUUUUAACGGUGGAUCUCUUGGCUCACGCAUCGAUGAAGAACGCAGCCAGCUGCGAUAAGUAGUGUGAAUUGCAGAAUUCAGUGAAUCAUCGAAUCUUUGAACGCAAAUGGCGCUCUUGGGUUCUCCCAGGAGCAUGUCUGCCUGAGUGUCGGAUAUCAUCCAACGCC